GGUGAACGCUGGCGGUAGGCCUAACACAUGCGAGUCGAACGGCAGCACAGUAAGAGCUUGCUCUUACGGGUGGCGAGUGGCGGACGGGUGAGGAAUACAUCGGAAUCUACUUUUUCGUGGGGGAUAACGUAGGGAAACUUACGCUAAUACCGCAUACGACCUACGGGUGAAAGCAGGGGAUCUUCGGACCUUGCGCGAUUGAAUGAGCCGAUGUCGCAUUAGCUAGUUGGCGGGGUAAAGGCCCACCAAGGCGACGAUCCGUAGCUGGUCUGAGAGGAUGAUCAGCCACACUGGAACUGAGACACGGUCCAGACUCCUACGGGAGGCAGCAGUGGGGAAUAUUGGACAAUGGGCGCAAGCCUGAUCCAGCCAUACCGCGUGGGUGAAGAAGGCCUUCGGGUUGUAAAGCCCUUUUGUUGGGAAAGAAAAGCAGCAGGUUAAUACCCCGAUGUUCUGACGGUACCCAAAGAAUAAGCACCGGCUAACUUCGUG
rnacentral:rRNA from 1 species